CGCCUCUCCCUAGCUCGUGUCGCUGGUGCCUCUCCCUUGCCCGCGUCGCCGGUGCCUCUCCCUCGCCCACGUCGCCGGCGCCUCUCCAUUGGCUCCGUCGUCGGUGCCAAGAUCUCAUUUUUUUCUCCGGUGACUGAUUUCGAGUGCGUCGGCUCGACCUGCAACGGCCUUCCUCCACUCCAACGCCGUGCGGACGAUGCCAUGGAAGGGCCACCAUGACCAGGAGCAGGACGACGCCUUGGAAGGUUCACCGAUAGGAGCAACUAUGUACGGUCUGGUCUUCUCCACUAACAGGGAUAUCGACAUGGAGGUCCGCCAUGGAAGGCCUGGAGCUCGUCAUGGAGGGUCCCUCCUCUCUCUCUUCCCCUCCCUCUACUCUGUUGGUUGGUUGGACGGAAGACCACCGCUCGUCAGGCUCUGCUUCUUCCACCGCUGCUCCCCUCCCACCAUAGUGCCACAGACGCUAUGCCAAGCACGGAAGAUUCGGGGAGCCGCCUUGAUCCUGAGUACUCGCAAUCCAUUAUAGGGCAGUUCAAAGCCUGCCUCUGGAAGCAUUGGUUGACCUAUUGGCACAACCCAGAUUACAACCUUGUCAGAUUUUCCUUCACUUUGUUCACAGCCUUGCUGCUUGGCUCCAUCUUUUGGAAGAUUGGCACCAUUAUGGGUGGAUGCCAAUACUCUUAGAAUGGUCAUUGGAGCAAUAUACACAACAGUGAUGUUUGUCGGCAUCAACAACUGUGCAACCGUUCAACCAAUUGUUUUAAUCGAGAGAACAACUUGUACAAAGAGAGGGCUGCUCCAUUGCUCAGCUACUUAUGCAGCGAAGGUACAGGUUGUUCUAGAUGGCUCUGUAGACAGUGAGAAUGAGGAGACUCAAACUCAUGAAGAUUCUAAUGAGGAAAUCGAUUAUGAUAAAUAACAACACAGAUCAGCAGAGAUGAAUCGGCUUCCACCGGAUCCUUAGCUGGUGUAGCCUCAACUGCUUGCUCAGGACGAUUGCUUAGCAUGACGUGCAGCCUCCCGCGGCAGUAGUUCAACUCCUGCACAAUGACACAAAAGGCAUAGACCGUCAGAACACAGUCCAAUGGUUUCUAGACCUGGCGUACAUCGGCGCCUCCAUGGCUGCUGAAUAGGAUGAAGAGGAGCACUGGAGGAGGACCAUGGUAGCGGUGAGACCCAACCCGUUGCGACGCCUAGGGAGCAGGCGCACGGGCACACCAGUAAAGCACAGCACA